rnacentral:rRNA from 1 species
AUUGAACGCUGGCGGCAGGCCUAACACAUGCAAGUCGAACGAGUGGCGGGAGGGUGGGUAAUGACUGGGAAUCUGCGCGGGGGAUGGGGUUCACUACUGGACACUGAAGCUGCUAACGCAUACCAUCGGCUGUGCCCGGAUAGGAUUAGCUAGUGGGUGGGGUAACGGCAUACCGAGGAGACGAUCCCUCGCUGGUCUGAGAGGAUGAACAGCCACACUGGAACUGAGACACGGUCCAGACUCCUACGGGAGGCAUCAGGGGGGAAUAUUGGACAAGGGGCGCAAGCCUGAUGCAGCCAGGCCGCGUGUAUGAAGAAGGCCUUCGGGUUGUAAAGUACUUUCAGCGGGGAGGCGUUACCCGCAGAAGAAGCACCGGCUAACUCCGUGCCAGCAGCCGCGGUAAUUC